rnacentral:rRNA from 1 species
UAAUAGCGUAUAUCAAAGUUGUUGCAGUUAAAAAGCUCGUAGCUGAAUCUCGGGGAUGGAAGAGCAGUCUGCCUUCACGGCGAGACGGCUCAACUGACUCACAUAUAGCGGUAUUCUCGAAGGUGCUCUUGACUGAGUGUCUCGGGUGGUCGUUACGUUUACUUUCAAAAAAUUAGAGUGCUUAGAGCAGGCCAGCAGUGCCUUGAUACCACAGCAUGGAAUAAUGGAAUAAGGCCUCGGAACACGUUCUGUUGGUCUCCGGUUACCAGAGGUCAUGAUUAAUAGGGUCAGACGGGGGCAUCCGUAUUGCUGGGCGAGAGGUGAAAUUCUUAGACCCUAGCAAGACGAACAACAGCGAAAGCAUUUGCCAAGAAUGAUUUCAUUAGUCAAGAACGAAAGUCA